GAUGAACGCCGGCGGCGUGCCUAAUACAUGCGAGUCGAGCGAAUGGAUUAAGAGCUUGCUCUUAUGAAGUUAGCGGCGGACGGGUGAGUAACACGUGGGUAACCUGCCCAUAAGACUGGGAUAACUCCGGGAAACCGGGGCUAAUACCGGAUAACAUUUUGAACCGCAUGGUUCGAAAUUGAAAGGCGGCUUCGGCUGUCACUUAUGGAUGGACCCGCGUCGCAUUAGCUAGUUGGUGAGGUAACGGCUCACCAAGGCAACGAUGCGUAGCCGACCUGAGAGGGUGGUCGGCCACACUGGGACUGAGACACGGCCCAGACUCCUACGGGAGGCAGCAGUAGGGAAUCUUCCGCAAUGGACGAAAGUCUGACGGAGCAACGCCGCGUGAGUGAUGAAGGCUUUCGGGUCGUAAAACUCUGUUGUUAGGGAAGAACAAGUGCUAGUUGAAUAAGCUGGCACCUUGACGGUACCUAACCAGAAAGCCACGGCUAACUACGUGCCAGCAGCCGCGGUAA
rnacentral:rRNA from 1 species